AAGUAAGAGUGACCAGAGCAAAACGCCCGCCAGGCUCCUCUUCCAUGAGAUUCUCCAGGCAAGAAUACUAGAGUGAGUUGCCACAGCCUCCUCCAGGGGAUCUUCCUGACCCAGGAACUGAACCUGCGUCUCCUGUAUCUCCUGCAUUGCAGACCUGCUGCUGCUGCUGCUGCUGCUAAAUCACUUCAGUCGUGUCCGACUCUGUGCGACCCCAGAGAUGGCAGCCCACCAGGCUCCGUCGUCCCUGGGAUUCUCCAGUGGCUGUUUCGAUUUACAUUCCCAUCAGGAGUGGAGAAGCGUUCACUUUUCUCUGCACCCUCUCCAGCAUUUAUGGUUUGUGGACUUUUUAAUGAUGGCUACUCUGACUGGAGUGAGGUGAUAACCCUAUUGUCAUUUUGAUUUGCAUUUAAUUUGCAUUAAUGAUAUUGAGCAUCUUUUCAUGUGCUUUUUUGGCCAUCUGUAUGUCUUCUUUGGAGAAAUAUCUAUUUAGAUCUUCUGCCCAUUUUUUGAUUGAGUUUUUUGGUUGUUAUUGGGUUGUAUGAGUUGCUUAUGCAUUUUGGAAAUUAAGUCCUUGUCAAUCACAUCAUUGUUGGAGCAACAUUGUGAAUGUAGUCAAUGUCACUGACUUAUACACUUUAAAAGGG
ensembl:lncRNA